rnacentral:rRNA from 1 species
UGGGGAAUAUUGCACAAUGGGCGAAAGCCUGAUGCAGCAACGCCGCGUGAGGGACGACGGCCUUCGGGUUGUAAACCUCUUUUAGCAAGGAAGAAGCGAAAGUGACGGUACUUGCAGAAAAAGCGCCGGCUAACUACGUGCCAGCAGCCGCGGUAAUACGUAGGGCGCAAGCGUUAUCCGGAAUUAUUGGGCGUAAAGAGCUCGUAGGCGGUUUGUCGCGUCUGCUGUGAAAACCCGAGGCUCAACCUCGGGCCUGCAGUGGGUACGGGCAGACUAGAGUGCGGUAGGGGAGAUUGGAACUCCUGGUGUAGCGGUGGAAUGCGCAGAUAUCAGGAAGAACACCGAUGGCGAAGGCAGAUCUCUGGGCCGUAACUGACGCUGAGGAGCGAAAGGGUGGGGAGCAAACAGGCUUAGAUACCCUGGUAGUCCACCCGUAAACGUUGGGAACUAGUUGUGGGGUCCACUCCACGGAUUCCGUGACGCAGCUAACGCAUUAAGUUCCCCGCCUGGGGAGUACGGCCGCAAGGCUAAAACU